rnacentral:rRNA from 1 species
UACGUAGGGGGCAAGCGUUGUCCGGAAUCAUUGGGCGUAAAGAGCGUGUAGGCGGCCAGAUAAGUCCGCUGUGAAAUCUCGAGGCUCAACUUCGAGCUGUCGGUGGAAACUGUCUGGCUAGAGUCCGGAAGAGGAGAAUGAAUUCCUGGUGUAGCGGUGAAAUGCGCAGAUAUCAGGAAGAACACCCGUGGCGAAGGCGGUUCUCUGGGACGGUACUGACGCUGAGACGCGAAAGCGUGGGGAGCGAACAGG